CCCAUGUUUCUUCUGGAACUUAAAAGAAGGCUGAUGUGUGUGUGGGCUAUGGUGCGAUCAUGGAGAAGAAAGCAAUAAUGCAAGGAGAAUCAAGUAAUCGAACCGAGUAACUAAUGAUAAAUUUUACCCAGAAGGUCAUCGUCUAUCAUGAGUAUUUGUAGUAGCAAUCACUGGGUUGUCAACUGGUCAAUGGAGAAAUUCAUUACACGGACAAUCCUACGGACGAAGGUAGGACGAGUUGAUUAUUCAUUUAAGUGGCCAAGACAUGUGGAUUAAGCGGAUAGUCCCCAAUUGCAUAUCAUAUUGGGAAAUUAAUUCGAGGAACUAUUUUAGGGGAAAUGGACGGAGAAAGGAGCGACUUAAAUCGAUGACCUGAAAGAUAAGUGAAACCAUGAGUUGUUCAUAAUUAGCCCCGUUGAGUAAUACACAUAUAAACAUAUUUGUAUAUAUAUAUGGUCGUGGAUAUGAUACCAUUGAAAUAUACAAACUUAUAAUUUUGAUUAA